rnacentral:tRNA from 1 species
CCGACCUUAGCUCAGUUGGUAGAGCGGAGGACUGUAGUAGAAUUAAUAAUUCUUAGUGCCAUCCUUAGGUCGCUGGUUCGAAUCCGGCAGGUCGGA